rnacentral:lncRNA from 1 species
UGUUCCUACUUGGGGAUGUAUGGCCACCUGUUAUCUCCACUCAGGGUCAGCUCCCAGUCUCCUCUUUCGCUAGCUAAUGUAUUUCUAUCUUUCCUUCCCUCAGCACAUCUACCUUUCUCCCACACACCCUGUGUUUCAUGAAGACAGGGACAGAGACGUAGAUAGCCUUGACGCUAACCCGAGCCAUAGGCCCCCCCAUUGGAAAAGCUAACCGCUAACCUAUAACCGCUAAUCUGGUAUUAGCUCCCUGGUAGAAGAAGACAGGAUUAAGAUGAGAGGUGGUUUAGCAGCAAACAACCUGCUUUUCAUUGUGUGAUCGCAUCGCUCCAGGGAAGGACCGGGAACGAAGAAGCGGGAACGAAGAACCGGGAACAAAGGACCGGGAACAACGGACCGGGAACGACGGACCGGGAACGAAGAACCGAGAGGAACCACCAUCAACAUGAGAGCUGUCCAGAACUGUAUGGUCCUCCUCGUCACACUACUCUUCCUCGCUUCAUGCUGUGAAGCCCUACGAUGCUAUACAUGCAUGGGCUUUGAUGAUGAGGACUGCAAUCGACAGGGCUCCACAACCUGUCCAAGCCACUCUGACGCUUGUGCUGUGGUCCGAGGACAAGGAAGCGGAGUGAUGAAGUCCUGCUCCUACAAGUCUUUCUGUAGCCAGGCCAACAGUCAGGGUUACAGGUUGCCAGGGGUCAGAUUUCACUGCUGUUUCUUUAAUGACUGCAACGUGACAGGAAACACAUCCAAUCUGGGAGGAAGUCUCAGCUACCCGCUACUCUUCCUACCCCUGUUCCUCCACUGGAUACCAAUCUAACUACCUAUCCCAAUCUAACUACCUAUCCCAAUCUAACUACCUAUCCCAAUCUAACUACCUAUCCCAAUCUAACUACCUGCUACUCUUCCUACCCCUGUUCCUCCACUGGAUCCCAAUCUAACUACCUAUCCCAAUCUAACUACCUAUCCCAAUCUAACUACCUGCUACUCUUCCUACCCCUGUUCCACCACUGGAUCCCAAUCUAACUACCUAUCCCAAUCUAACUACCUGCUACUCUUCCUACCCCUGUUCAACCACUGGAUCCAAAUCUAACUACCUAACCCAAUCUAACUACCUGCUACUCUUCCUACCCCUGUUCAACCACUGGAUCCCAAUCUAACUACCUAUCCCAAUCUAACUACCUAUCCCAAUCUAACUACCUAUCCCAAUCUAACUACCUGCUACUCUUCCUACCCCUGUUCCUCCACUGGAUCCCAAUCUAACUACCUAUCCCAAUCUAACUACCUAUCCCAAUCUAACUACCUAUCCCAAUCUAACUACCUGCUACUCUUCCUACCCCUGUUCAACCAC